rnacentral:rRNA from 1 species
GAUGAACGCUGGCGGCGUGCCUAAUACAUGCAAGUCGAGCGAACAGACGAGGAGCUUGCUCCUCUGACGUUAGCGGCGGACGGGUGAGUAACACGUGGAUGGCCUACCUAUAAGACUGGGAUAACUUCGGGAAACCGGAGCUAAUACCGGAUAAUAUAUUGAACCGCAUGGUUCAAUAGUGAAAGACGGUUUUGCUGUCACUUAUAGAUGGAUCCGCGCCGCAUUAGCUAGUUGGUAAGGUAACGGCUUACCAAGGCAACGAUGCGUAGCCGACCUGAGAGGGUGAUCGGCCACACUGGAACUGAGACACGGUCCAGACUCCUACGGGAGGCAGCAGUAGGGAAUCUUCCGCAAUGGGCGAAAGCCUGACGGAGCAACGCCGCGUGAGUGAUGAAGGUCUUCGGAUCGUAAAACUCUGUUAUUAGGGAAGAACAAAUGUGUAAGUAACUAUGCACGUCUUGACGGUACCUAAUCAGAAAGCCACGGCUAACUACGUG